rnacentral:rRNA from 1 species
CCCUUAGAUGUCCGGGGCUGCACGCGCGCUACACUGACUGGCUCAGCGUGUGCCUACCCUACGCCGGCAGGCGCGGGUAACCCGUUGAACCCCAUUCGUGAUGGGGAUCGGGGAUUGCAAUUAUUCCCCAUGAACGAGGAAUUCCCAGUAAGUGCGGGUCAUAAGCUUGCGUUGAUUAAGUCCCUGCCCUUUGUACACACCGCCCGUCGCUACUACCGAUUGGAUGGUUUAGUGAGGCCCUUGGAUCGGCCCCGCCGGGGUCGGCCCACGGCCCUGGCGGAGCGCUGAGAAGACGGUCGAACUUGACUAUCUAGAGGAAGUAAAAGUCGUAACA